GUACCAGGAGCCAACUGUGAUCAGAAAACAGGUGCUAAUGACAGAGACCAACAUGGAAGGAAAGGAGUGAAUUCUCCCUCCAGGUGCCAUAGAUGACAUCUUUUUAGAUGGAUCUUUCGGUUUGCCUUUAUGGGACAUGGAUGAAGCUGGAAGCCAUAAUGCUCAGCAAACUAACACAGGAACAGAAAACCAAACUCUGCAUCUUCUCACUCAGAGGUUUAGUUGCCAAACUGGGAUUCAAACUUAAGAAGCUCACCUCUCAACUACUAUACAGCACAACCUCCCUGGACAAUACCAUCUUUUCCACAAUAUGUUUCUUCCGGGCAUCCAAACAUGCCAGUUCCAUCAGCACUUCAAAUGGAGCAAGACAGAAAUUAGUCCCUCAGGCAGCCCUUCAAAAAGCCAGACAUUGGACACUCCCUCCACUCUUCUCUGUCCAAACCGAGCUGUUCUCUCCUGGUGCUGAGCUGUACUGCUUUGGGAAGUUUCACUCUUGUCACCCAGGCUGGAGUGCAAUGGUGCGAUCUCGGCUCACUGAAACCUCCGCCUCCUGGGUUCAAGCCAUUCUCCUGCCUCAUGCUCCUCAGUAG
rnacentral:lncRNA from 1 species